rnacentral:tRNA from 1 species
GAUGGCUCAGUGCUAGAGCAUUUGCUUUGCAUGCAGAAGGUUCCAAGUUGAAUCCUGGGCUUUUCCA